rnacentral:rRNA from 1 species
UACGUAGGGCGCAAGCGUUAUCCGGAAUUAUUGGGCGUAAAGAGCUCGUAGGCGGCUUGUUGCGUCGGCUGUGAAAUCCCAUGGCUCAACUGUGGGCUUGCAGCCGAUACGGGCGGGCUAGAGUGCGGAAGAGGCGAGUGGAAUUCCUGGUGUAGCGGUGAAAUGCGCAGAUAUCAGGAGGAACACCGAUUGCGAAGGCAGCUCGCUGGGACGUAACUGACGCUGAGACGCGAAAGCGUGGGGAGCAAGCAGG